AAACACCCUUCUAUUUGGAGAGGAAAAGCCUGGAAUCCAUCUGGGGAAAGCUGGAGGAAGGGGAAUGGCCAGCGGACCCUAGAUGCAGCCUUGGGUGGAGGAACAGAGCCCCGGAGUCCAGAGACAGCGAGCUCUGAGAUCCCAUUCUCCUCUUGCCUCUCAUCCUGUGCCACCAUUAUGGACAGACCACCAGGAACCCAGAGAGAGAGGAAGCCCGCCGGAGCGAGGGACGGCACUCAUUUCUAUUCUACAGCGCAGCAUGGCAAGCUGAGGAUCAGCCGAGGGUGCCCUGAGGUCUAGAGGAUGAUUGAAAGUGGCAGGUAUCCCCGACGUGAAUACUUGAUCCUUCAAUUAAAAAGGGAGUGAGGGGAGCUCUCACCAUGCUGAAUAAGGCCUAUUACCGCGUGGCUCUCCUAAAAAUGGAACCAGCGGAGUCUAAAACAGACUGUGCUUGGGAAAUUCUGCCUGACACACUGAUUGGAGGUGUUUCAUAAAACUUACACGGGGGCUUGCUCAAAACUGUCAAGCAGCUCCCCUAAGUGACUCGCUGAGUUCUGUGAUCUGUUUCACCUAUUAAAACUGAG
rnacentral:lncRNA from 1 species